rnacentral:lncRNA from 1 species
CCGUUCUUAAAAAAAGCCUUUUUAUUGUUGUUGAUAAUUGUAUAAAAUGACACGCCUUAAAUUUAACAUCACAAUUUUACAACCAUGCCACCACUACUAAAAACUAAAUACUCACUCUAUUUAAGGAUAACCAUGGGGAAAUAUGCUUAAAGUUUGCAAAUUUUACAAAUAUGACAGAUGGGAUAUUAUUCCUUUUUUCCACUCAUUGUUUAGAGCUGUGGUACAAUCAUUAACCAUCUUCAAUUUAACAAAAUUAUGCUAAUUAUUCUUAAUUAGUAGUAGUGAU